rnacentral:rRNA from 1 species
UGGGGAAUAUUGCACAAUGGGGGGAACCCUGAUGCAGCAACGCCGCGUGAAGGAAGACGGUUUUCGGAUUGUAAACUUCUAUCAAUAGGGACGAAGAAAGUGACUGUACCUAAAUAAGAAGCCCCGGCUAACUACGUGCCAGCAGCCGCGGUAAUACGUAGGGGGCAAGCGUUAUCCGGAAUUACUGGGUGUAAAGGGUGAGUAGGCGGCAUGGCAAGUAAGAUGUGAAAGCCCGAGGCUUAACCUCGGGAUUGCAUUUUAAACUGCUAAGCUAGAGUACAGGAGAGGAAAGCGGAAUUCCUAGUGUAGCGGUGAAAUGCGUAGAUAUUAGGAAGAACACCAGUGGCGAAGGCGGCUUUCUGGACUGGAAACUGACGCUGAGGCACGAAAGCGUGGGGAGCGAACAG